AGGCUCUUGACAAAGAUGGCUGACAAAGUGACGUGGCAAUCUUUCAAAAAAAAAACAAAAACAAAAACAAACACAAACAAAGAAACAUUAAAAAUUGGAAAUCCAGGAUCACUCUCUCUCUCCCCUAUUUCUCGUCCUCCUCUCUCUCCAUUUCCCCCAAAUCAAUUUUGGAACCCAAGCCUUCCCUUUCGACCCAUUUCCCUUCUCUUCCAACCGUUUCUUCCCAAGCACUGACCUCCAGCGUCAUCUCCAUCUCCGACAGCCGCUCAACUCCAAUAGCGUGAUUUCAGCCGAUCUGCUCUGUCGUGAAACGGGACGUCGUAUGAAAUCUCGGCUUCGAAUUGUUGAGAAAUUAAUUUUCAAUUUUCUAACUCCAGAUUAUUGUUUCGACUUUCUGCUACUGUUUUCUCUGUAAAUAUGUUUCUCCACCCAUUCUUUUUGGAGUAAAAUAAAAUGGCUUAUUCACUUUCAAAAUCUGAUUAAUUUUGGACAAGUUUUGAGGUGGUUUGAAUGGUUUAUUUGGUGGUGCUGACUUCAUAUGCCUUGAAAGUGUGGCUUCCAAUUGAAAUCCAUACCGCUGGAAUUUCUCCUUAAAAGUGGCACAAGAUACCGCUAACAUUUCCAAUUGAAAUCCAUAUCGCUGGAGUUAAUAAUCAAUAAAAACAUGGCACAAGAUAACAAAAGGCAUAUAAUUUUGAUAUAUAUAUAUAUAUCAUCAAUAUACCUAUGUUCGUCUACAACAGAAGUACAAGAGAUUUCUUCAAUUUUGCAUCUUCAAUAACAAAAUAUGAACAUAAAAAGAAAGCAGGCUAGUAUGUAUGUAUGCACUGUUCGGCUGGAGUGGAGAAGAUGGAAGAAACACACAACUUCGAAAAAUUUUGCCUACUUUCGCGCCUCAUUUUGGCCUCCGUAUAUGGUGAAUAUGAAGAUUCCGGCUGAAACAAAUAAUUUUCAUUUUCUGCCUAAUUGUGUUAAUGGGUUACGUAUGAAACUCCCCUUUCCUGUUUUGCU
rnacentral:lncRNA from 1 species